ensembl:lncRNA
GGAUUGCGAUGGCUCCGGCAUCCUCAUUUGUGCUGGAGAUCACAGUGCUUGCUGUCAACCUUUUCCUGAUAAUAACGCCUUCCUGAAUUGUAUUGUGCUGUAUUUAUUAUGCUUGUCUGGAAGAGGUCUUCUCACUGGACACCCUUCAGAGUAUUUUAGGAUCCUUCAGCAUUUUCCCUUCUCUUCUCCACCCUUCCCCCAUGCUGCCAUCCACCUUCCCUUUCCUGCUGCAUGGGAAGCAGACCCCUCCUGCCGCAGCCUCGCAGCAAAGAGCAGAGGCCGCAUUUAACAGCUCAGCAGCUUUUAGCUCCGUGGCUCUCCCCCAGGUUCCCAGGCAUGGGGUCAUAUCAAACCUCUAAUUGGUGUCCUUGGCCCUGCAAGAGCAUCCCCUGCUCGAGUCCUUCCUGCAGUGCUCCAGGUCCUGCAGUGCCCCUUGGCUUUGCAGAAGGAGAAAGGACAGAUCUUUGGUGUGAGGUUUUAAUAGCUGUUGGGGCAAUAGAUGUUUUAGAGACUGUGAUUUUGUAUCUGGCAUCCUCUUCUGUGGUCUCAAACCAAGAAAUGGCAAAGCAUGGAGCUGGAAGGAUGAAGCGAAGACUUGUCACAGCGAAUCUGGAAAUGCGGAGGACACAAAGACUGUCCUCAUCUGGAAGACCUCCAGUGCAGGAAGAGCACCUACUGGGGGACAACCACGUACCAGGGACACCUCAGCACGACUCCUGUGACAACACCAGGAGGCAGCAGGGACCAGCAGCACUGAUCCACAGGUGAUGCUGCUAAGAGUACUUCAUACACAGGUAGAAUGCGAGUUUAUGUGGGUUUUGACACUAGCAAAAUAUUCCAGCCUGGAUAGGCAUCAGCUCAUGUAUCUGUAGGUAGUUGGGGGAAGAGCGACCACUUUUAGGACAAUGCUCAUUCACACAGUGAUUGCCCUUGGGGAAGAUGUUGCAGCCAUGUGACAGACACGACGCUGUGAUGUUGCUGUGCCCAACACAGCGGGGUUUGGGGGCAGAGAUAAGGAGCCCAGCCUGCUGCCAGAUGUGCCGAGCUGGAGGGAGCACAGCACUGCAGAAUCACAGAGCACAGAAAUGAGCUGAGCUUAGCAUGCCAGCAUCCUCUCACACACACACGAGAGCUGUGUGGAAUCGCAGUCCUGACAAAGCCUGACUUCUCCGAUUCAGAGGAAAUGAAAAGGACUUUGUGACUGCUGUGACCGCUGAUAGAGGGUUGGUGUGCCCAGGGGACAGCCAGCCAAGGGAGAGGGAGGAGCGCUGGAAGAUUUGGCUUCAGUGAACAGUUCCUUAAAUUCAAUGAGUCAUGAUUUUCUUUCGGCGCACGCGGCCCUCUGUGUAUAAACUCCAGCCCAGAGAGAAAAAUAUCCCCUGGUCAUUGGUGAGAGAGGGCAAUGGUUUCCUAAGGAUUAAUUCCUCCUAACAGAUAUGGUCUGCAUUCCUUUGGAAGAUGCCCUCCCACAGGCCCUCUCUCACAGAGCCACACUAAAAAUAGAGCUGAGUGCUUCCUGAUGGCACCGCUGUGUUUCUCUGGAAAGGCAGGUGUUGUUUCUCUGGAAAGGUAGGUGAAGCUGACAACGUUCAACACACUUAAAUUUGCCUGAUAAUGUUGUUAUUUAUCCAUAGAUCAUAGAAUGGCCUGGGUUGAAAAGGACCACAAUGAUCAUAGAGUUUCAACCCCCUGCUAUGUGCAGGGUCGCCAACCACCAGACCAGGCUGCCCAGAGCCACAUCCAGCCUGGGAAUCCAUAGAUUUCAAACCGAGUGAUGAUUUCACAAAAAGACAAGGCACAGUCCUAUUUUUCUUCCCUUACAUGUGAAAAACGUGCAUGUGGUUUGCAUAAUCAAAAUGCAUUUUCUUUCUAUCCACUGCAAGAAAAAGACACAGUGGCUGAGGAUGGAGGAGCGCUCCCAGUCCCUGUGGGAGAGCUGGAGGGUGCUGCUGAUGCCAAUGGGGAACUGAAACUACAGCCCUGGAGAGGAAACAAGAUCAUCGCUGCUGCUCCCUUCGCACUCCUGACUUUGUUUGCUUUGUGUGACUGGUUUCUGGCUGAAUAAAACAAAAUUUCCUGGCCCUCUGAGAUGAGGAAAAUCAUCCGGUGACAAAAGGAAGUUCUGAGGGGUUUGAGAUGUGUCCCUCUCCUGGGAAAGAGAAAGGAUGCCCCCGUGGUACCUGAUAUAACUGGGACUUGCAAAGCUCUGUCUGCUAGUUUAUAAACAUACCCUCAUUAAAGCAUUUUAAUUAGG